UACGAAGGGGGCUAGCGUUGUUCGGAAUUACUGGGCGUAAAGGGCGCGUAGGCGGCCUGACAAGUCGGGUGUGAAAGGCCUGGGCUUAACCCGGGAAUUGCGCUCGAUACUGUUAGGCUAGAGUGUGGGAGAGGAUGGCGGAAUUCCCAGUGUAGAGGUGAAAUUCGUAGAUAUUGGGAAGAACACCAGUGGCGAAGGCGGCCAUCUGGACCACAACUGACGCUUAGGCGCGAAAGCGUGGGGAGCAAACAGG
rnacentral:rRNA from 1 species